rnacentral:rRNA from 1 species
GACGAACGAGGGAGGAGGGGGGAACACAUGCAAGUCGAACGGAAAGGCCCUGCUUGCAGGGUACUCGAGUGGCGAACGGGUGAGUAACACGUGGGUGAUCUGCCCUGCACUUCGGGAUAAGCCUGGGAAACUGGGUCUAAUACCGGAUAGGAGCCAUUUUUAGUGUGAUGGUUGGAAAGUUUUUUCGGUGUAGGAUGAGCUCGCGGCCUCUCAGCUUGUUGGUGGGGUAAUGGCCUACCAAGGCGGCGACGGGUAGCCGGCCUGAGAGGGUGGACGGCCACAUUGGGACUGAGAUACGGCCCAGACUCCUACGGGAGGCAGCAGUGGGGAAUAUUGCACAAUGGGCGCAAGCCUGAUGCAGCGACGCCGCUUGGGGGAUGACGGCCUUCGGGUUGUAAACUCCUUUCGCUAGGGACGAAGCUUUUUGUGACGGUACCUAGAUAAGAAGCACCGGCUAACUACGUG